UCCAGGUUCAUUUCGAAUUGUGAAUGGUUCAGUUUUAGACCAUUGGGAUGAAAACACUUUAUCAUGGGUUGUCACUUUCCGUAGGUUGUUGAAAGAGGAAUAAAUUUCUGAGUUUCAAGGUCUUUGUCAGAUAAUAGAGUGAGUGAUCAUCCAGAUUCUCGAAUUUGGUCGGUGAAACAUGCAAAGAAAUGUUGUUUAGCUUUUGGUUGGGG
rnacentral:misc_RNA from 1 species